UUUUGACCAAUAUCUGCUUUUUUUUUUAGCUUAUAUAUCUUAUAUUUAAGAUAUUUUAUAUUUUUAAGUAAAUGUUACAGCCUUACAAGAUAAAAAUGUAACGUAGGCCUAUUUAUUUAUUUGGCUGGCUAUUUAUAGGUUUAAUUAUUUAAAGGUAUGUGAAAUAAAAUGUAAAAGAGACAGGAUGGCAAUUUUAUUCAAAAACUUGCAUUUCUGAUUUUGACCACAUGAGGGGGCGCUAACCCAACUAAUUCUAUCCAUAUUUCUAACCCCCUACUAAAUAUUUCAGACCUGUUUGAAUAAAAACGUUUUUUUAAUUAUGAUUAAAGUAUAAUACAAAAACACAGAGGCUAAAAAACAACCUUUUAUUUUCAUUUCAGUAAUACAGUUGGCUGUUGUGCACAGCACAUACGUAUAAAAAUAAAAGGAAACAUUUUCUUAAUAUACUAGAAUUAUUACUCAUUUUUUCUUUUUUUUUUUCAGAGAACAAUACGAUUUGCAAAAAGCUUGUUGUCUCCAACAUAUCUUACAAUCAUUUCAACAAAUUGGAACUAAGGCAGAAGAAGACAAAAUGUCAUGCAGGUUUGGAUCAAGAUAAGGAUGUCUCAAAAUGUCAAGUAGAAGCAGUGAUGCAAGAGAAAUCAAGCUUCUGAGGUCCUUUUGGUCAAAGAUGAUGUGGGUGGCGAAAUAGAUGCCAAUGGCACCAAAGAUGGCAGAGGAGGCGAUGUACAUGGUGACGGACUCUGUGAACUGGACGAUCAUGCCCAUGAAGAGGGUAGGGAAGACCUGAGACAGAAGGAAGGUGCUGUCCAGAAUGGCAAAGUCUAGUCCCACCCCACGUUUCUCAAAAUCCUCUGACUCCAGACCAAGGUGGGCACCGUUCUGAUAGAGAGAUGGGUAGUAGCCUGGUUCAUCUCUACUGUGAGGAACAUGCCCAUUGGAAAUGCCACUCUUGUGGUUGAGAUCUCCAGGGCCGCUGUCUAGUGUCAGACAAACAGAAUCCCUUGUGAUGGUGAAUCCAUUUGUGUGCGGUUUUGGGGUUUUGCUGUUUUGCAUGUACACCUGAAGAACGUUAGUAAUGAGAAGCAAUGACAGGUGAGCGUGUAAGGCAGUGUCUGCAGUGUGGCAUAGGCAAAGCCAGUAAGGGCAGACAUAGCUGUGACCAACAGAACGCUCUUGGACAAGCAGAUGACCAGAGCUGAGAUGGUGAAGCACACCAUGCUGCUCAAAUAGACCGCCCUGGACCCAAAGAGACGCACUAGUCUGCUCAUGACCAGCGAGAAGAAGGUUGAGGUAGCACACUGCAGGAACAGGCCCAGGCUGCCCAUACGGAUACCUGCGGGGUGAUGUUAGGAUUUCACAUGAGAAACUGGCUUUGGCGUUGUACUUCAAACAGGCCAGGAACUUUCCUCACAGAAGGAAUUCAUAAUUUCAACACACAACUGCAGAGGCCUGAGAUGUUCAUUGUUCUGAACAACUAUCUCCAACAUUUUGUGUUACAUGGGGCACAGUUUGCGGUCAACUACACUGACAGAUUUCAUUUGUGUGCACACUGAUCUUGACCACAUCUGUCAAAAUGUUCUGCUGAAGGAGCUUUCUGCUUGUGUCGAUGCUCAGUGGGAGAGAUCCAGAUGCUAGCUUAACAUGGAGUAGCUUUUGUAAGCUUGUUGUUGACUUUUUUUAUGAACAUUGCUGGAAGCUCAAGCACCAGGCUGACAGAAGCCACAUGUGGAGGUGAAUACAAGUUCACAGUUUAGAGACAGACGAUAUGGCCAGAGGACGGAAAUGACAGACCACCAACUGCAGGCAAGCAACUUUAUGGACAGUGGAGAAAAAAAAACAUAUUCCUUUAGAAAAACUGCUUAUUGACCACAGACACUGAAAUAAGUUAAAGUUAAUGUUCUUUAUUAUGCUUAACUCCAUGCAACAAACUGAUAUCCUUUCUUUUCAUUCUUUCUGUCUAAUGGGAGCCUCUAGAGAAAACUGAGAAUCUAUGUGCAAACAUUAACCAAC